ACAAUCACGCUGGCGGCGUGCCUAACACAUGCAAGUCGUGCGCGAAAGGGGCUUCGGCCCUGAGUAGAGCGGCAAACGGGUGAGUAACACGUGGGUGACCUGCCUUCGAGUGGGGGAUAACGUCCCGAAAGGGACGCUAAUACCGCAUGACAUCCUGCCUUUGAACAGGUGGAGAUCAAAGCCGGGGUCGCAAGACCUGGCGCUUGAAGAGGGGCCCGCGCCCGAUUAGCUAGUUGGUGGGGUAACGGCCUACCAAGGCGACGAUCGGUAGCCGGCCUGAGAGGGCGGACGGCCACACUGGGACUGAGACACGGCCCAGACUCCUACGGGAGGCAGCAGUGGGGAAUUGUUCGCAAUGGGCGCAAGCCUGACGACGCAACGCCGCGUGGAGGAUGAAGAUCUUCGGGUCGUAAACUCCUGUCGACCGGGACGAAUGCCGUGCGGGUGAAUAAUCCGCACGGGUGACGGUACCGGUGGAGGAAGCCCCGGCUAACUCCGUGCCAGCAGCCGCGGUAAUACGGGGGGGCAAGCGUUGUUCGGAAUUACUGGGCGUAAAGGGCUCGUAGGUGGCCAACUCAGUCGGACGUGAAAUCCCUCGGCUUAACCGGGGAACUGCGUCCGAUACUGGAUGGCUUGAGAUCGGGAGAGGGAUGCGGAAUUCCAGGUGUAGCGGUGAAAUGCGUAGAUAUCUGGAGGAACACCGGUGGCGAAGGCGGCAUCCUGGACCGACACUGACACUGAGGAGCGAAAGCCAGGGGAGCAAACGGGAUUAGAUACCCCGGUAGUCCUGGCCCUAAACGAUGUCAACUGGUUGUCAGGGAAGUAAUUCCUUGGUAACGAAGCUAACGCGUGAAGUUGACCGCCUGGGGAGUACGGCCGCAAGGCUAAAACUCAAAGGAAUUGACGGGGACCCGCACAAGCGGUGGAUUAUGUGGAUUAAUUCGAUGCAACGCGAAAAACCUUACCUACCCUUGACAUGUGCGGAACGGGGUAGUGAUACCUUGGUGCCCGAAAGGGAACCGCAACACAGGUGCUGCAUGGCUGUCGUCAGCUCGUGUCGUGAGAUGUUGGGUUAAGUCCCGCAACGAGCGCAACCCUUGCCAUUAGUUGCUACAUUCAGUUGGGCACUCUAGUGGGACUGCCGGUGACAAACCGGAGGAAGGUGGGGAUGACGUCAAGUCCUCAUGGCCCUUAUGGGUAGGGCUUCACACGUAAUACAAUGGCCGGUACAGAGGGCUGCCAACCCGCGAGGGGGAGCAAAUCCCAGAAAGCCGGUCGUAGUCCGGAUUGUUCUCUGCAACUCGAGAGCAUGAAGUCGGAAUCGCUAGUAA
rnacentral:rRNA from 1 species